rnacentral:rRNA from 1 species
AACGAACGAGGGAGGCAGGAAGAACACAUGCAAGUCGAACGAGACCUUCGGGUCUUGUGGCGCACGGGUGCGUAACGCGUGGGAACCUGCACUUAGGUUCGGAAUAACUCCCCGAAAGGGGUGCUAAUACCGGAUAAUGUCUUCGGACCAAAGAUUUAUCGCCUUUGGAUGGGCCCGCGUUGGAUUAGCUAGUUGGUAGGGUAAAAGCCUACCAAGGCGACGAUCCAUAGCUGGUCUGAGAGGAUGAUCAGCCACACUGGGACUGAGACACGGCCCAGACUCCUACGGGAGGCAGCAGUGGGGAAUAUUGGACAAUGGGCGAAAGCCUGAUCCAGCAAUGCCGCGUGAGUGAUGAAGGCCUUAGGGUUGUAAAGCUCAUUUACCCGGGAUGAUAAUGACAGUACCGGGAGAAUAAGCUCCGGCUAACUCCGUG